rnacentral:rRNA from 1 species
CCACUGAUUUGAUUUAAAGGGCCGCGGUAUAUUGACCGUGCGAAGGUAGCAUAAUCAUUAGUCUUUUAAUUGGAGGCUUGUAUGAAUGGUUGGACAAAAAGUAAGCUGUCUCGGCUAUAAGAAUUGAACUUAACUUUUAAGUGAAAAGGCUUAAAUGACUCAGGGGGACGAUAAGACCCUAUAAAGCUUGACAAUAACUUAGUUAAAUUAUAAAUUGUUAGUAUAACUUGAUUUUAGCCAGGGUUUGUUUCGUUGGGGCGACGGGAAUAUAAUGAAUAACUGUUCUUUUAAAUAUAAUUACAAAGAUAAUUGGUGAGCGAUUGAUCCUCUAAUAGAGAUUAAAAGAUAAAGUUACUUUAGGGAUAACAGCGUAAUCUUCUUUGAGAGUCCACAUCGACAAGAAGGUUUGCGACCUCGAUGUUGAAUUAAGGUAUCCUUAUAAUGCAGCAGUUAUAAAGGAGGGUCUGUUCGACCUUUAAAUCCUUACGUGAUCUGAGUCCAGAACCGGA